rnacentral:rRNA from 1 species
UACGUAGGGGGCUAGCGUUGUCCGGAAUCAUUGGGCGAAAGAGCGUGUAGGCGGCCCGGUAAGUCCGCUGUGAAAGUCGGGGGCUCAACCCUCGAAUGCCGGUGGAUACUGUCGGGCUAGAGUGCGGAAGAGGCGAGUGGAAUUCCUGGUGUAGCGGUGAAAUGCGCAGAUAUCAGGAGGAACACCGGUGGCGAAGGCGGAUCUCUGGGCCUUACCUGACGCUGAGGUGCGAAAGCGUGGGGGAGCAAACGGGG